rnacentral:rRNA from 1 species
CCUUCUUCCACCUCCCCUCCCCAUCGGUGUUGCCCACCUCUCCCUCUCCUUCCUCCGCCUCCCUCACCAUCGGCGCUCCCCACCUCUCCCCCUCCUUCCACCUCAAGCCGCCAACGCUGCUACAAGCGGGCGGAGCUGUGACGACCGCCCAACGGCAACUGCCGCGAAGCUUCAGCACCGGUGCUACGACGGGGCGUCGACCGGUGAAGCCUUCGGCGCCGUGGACAGGAGAGCCCACCGGUGGUUCGACUUCAACGACGCCCAUUGCUGGAACCGGCUCAUGGCGGUGCUGGAACCAGCACUAAUUUUGCUACCAUCGACACUUUGGUUUGCUAGCACCGACGCCAAUUUUUUGCAUUUUGCUAUAACCGGUGUUUUGAUUGCUGGAACCAGCUUCAAUUUUUGUUACAACUGCCGCAUUCGCUUUUUGCUGGACGAACGCCCAAUUUUGCUACUUUGCUACAAAUGGUGUUUUAAUUUGCUGCAACCAGUUCAAUUUUUGCUACCACUGGUGUCUUUGAUUUUGCUAGAACAUCCUUCCACAAAGGCCUCAUUUUUUGCAUUUUUGCUUCCACUGUUUUUGAUUUUACUGGAACUAACACAAAGAUUUGCUACUAUGGCUCCGAGCCAUGGUUUUCUGUUGCUGAGGUUUUUUUGCUGGAACUAUCAUUUAAUUGUGCUGGAACCGACAUUUUUUGGGGCCAUGCUACAAAUCAGCCGAGUGAUGUUAGGAAGAUUAAACCGCCUCCAGGGCCGUCGAUUCUGACUCUCCCAGCCGCAUGAUCUGGCACCUCCUGUGCCAGCACAAUGCAGCAGCUUCCAUGGCAGUACCGCUUGCUUGCUGCUCCCAUGGCAGCAUCGCUUAACAUGACCCCCGGCGGCGCUCCAUUGCAGCGUCGACGAUGCCCGGCGGCGCUCCAUUGCAGCGUCGAUGACGCUUCAAUGCAACCCCGGCGAAGCUUCAAUGCCCCCGUGGUGCUUCAGUGCAGCUCCGGCGGUGCUUCAGUGCAACCCGACAGAGCUUUUGCCGAUGCCGCGACGUUUCAUUGCUGCUCCGGCAGCCCCGGCGAUGCUCCAUGGCAGCAACGUGGCCUGGCGAGCUCCAUGGCAGCACCGGCGCCGGAGGAUGUUGCGACCGAGUGUGCGACGGCGAUGGCGGAUGCAGCGAUGCAACAGCGACAGCAAACAACCGCGCUGACGGAUGCUUCGAUGCAAAGACAUCAACGACAGCACACGACGACGCCGACAGGUGGUCUGACGCAGCCUCGACGGCGAGGGUGGAUGGAGCGAUGCAACAACGACAACGCCGACAGAUGCUUCGAUGCAGCGCACAGCAGCAACAACACGCGGCCAUGGCGGGAGUAGCAUCUUAGAAUUGACGACCAGGAGGGCCAUGGUUGGAUUGCAGCGGAGUAGCGUCAUGGGAUUGACGGCUAUGAGGGCCAUGACGGGAUUGCUAACAAGUAGCUAGCAUCAUGGGAUUGACGGCCAUGGCGGCCAACUGCGACAGCAACGACGGCUUGCAUCAAAUGGCAGCUGCGACCAUGGUGGGAUUGCAAAGCAGCAGGGUGGCAGAUGCGGCGGUCCCUCCCGGUUCCCAGCUGUGGUGGUUGGUGGUGCUCGGCCGCUCCCCAUGGGAAAGGUAGAAAGGGGAAAAGAGAGAAAACGAGUGGAGAAGAGGGAUUGCAACGAGAUAAGGUUAGGAUAAAGCGGUGGGUGGUCUGGCAGGGGAAACGUGUCGCACAAAGAAGACGGUUUAAGGUAGGAAGAAAUCAUCUGGACGAAACGAAACGUUUUCCCAUUUUUUGUUGCAACCGCCUUCGCGUUUUGCUACGACCAGCGAAGCUUUUUGCUACAUCUAUACAUUAGCUUUUUGCUACAUACGGCUCCAAAGUCAACGAGAAACACAGAGAGAC